rnacentral:rRNA from 1 species
GACGAACGCUGGCGGCGUGCCUAAUACAUGCAAGUAGGACGCAGUUGCGAACGGGUGAGUAACGCGUAGGUAACUACCUAAUAGAGGGGGAUAACUAUUGGAAACGAUAGCUAAUACCGCAUACUAGUAGAUAGACCUGCGUUGUAUUAGCUAGUAGGUAGGGGAAUGGCCUACCAAGGCAACGAUACAUAGCCGACCUGUGAGGUGGAUCGGCCAGACUGGGACUGAGACAGGGCCCAGACUCCUGCGGGAGGCAGCAGUAGGGAAUCUUCGGCAAGGGAUGAAAGUCUGACCGAGCAACGCGGCGUGAGUGAAGAAGGUUUUCGGAGCGUAAAACUCUGUUGUUAGAGAAGCGGUAUCUAACCAGAAAGCCACGGCUAACUACGUGCCAGCAGCCGCGGUAAUAC